rnacentral:rRNA from 1 species
ACGUAGGUGGCGAGCGUUGUCCGGAAUUACUGGGUGUAAAGGGCGUGUAGGCGGGACUUUAAGUCAGAUGUGAAAUACCCGAGCUUAACUCGGGCCGUGCAUUUGAAACUGAGGUUCUUGAGUGGUGGAGAGGAAAGCGGAAUUCCUAGUGUAGCGGUGAAAUGCGUAGAUAUUAGGAGGAACACCAGUGGCGAAGGCGGCUUUCUGGACACUAACUGACGCUGAGGCGCGAAAGCGUGGGGAGCAAACAG